AAAAAAAGAAAAAAAAAAGUAAUGCAGCUUCCAUUUCAAGGUUGAAAGUGUUUAUUACCAGAAAAGGCAAAGCUAGUGUUAAAUGCUUUUUAGCCAAGUGAAUGGUGCCAACACUUAAGGAGGAUAUUCUGGGCUGCAAGAGCACCUAUCAUCUGUCUCUUGUCCUAAACCCUAUGAUGAAAAUCUACCCCUUUCUGCCAGGACUGCAGCAUGGGGCUCUUCAGCUUAACCACUUCAUUGCUGUCCCACCUCUCUGUGAAUUAGUGUUCAGGAGAUAACUUGGCCAUAUCUAUCAGUCCCAAAGGGAGAAAAAUAAAAAUGGAGGGAAUUAAUCUGACAUGAUACAAAUGAAGUAAAUCUAAAACCACCCUACCCUCGAACAGAGAUUUUUCCAUAAAAAGAGACGUCAGGGGCUGCAUGAAGAACCAUACUAUUACUAGAACCAUACUAUUACUAUGGAUUUUACAUGGAAGAUGCUCAGAUACUACAGUGAUGGGUAACAAUAUAAAACCUCAAGGUAGUUUCACAUGCAACCUAAACCUCAUCAAGAGGUUUAUACAAGAGUACUCAAUGCAAGAACUAGGGAAUAAGUGGUUACAAAGAAUGGGGAGACAGGAGGUAUUGAUGUGAUCUAAGCCAUUAACUUGCUGUAUGACUGUGGAUCAGUCACUGCUAGUUUCAAAAUGGCCACCAUUUUGCAUGUUUCUCAAUGGAGAGAGAGGCCAGAGCCCACCUGUACCAAAGAUGGCCACUGCCUCCAUCAUCCUACUUCUCUUCACCAUCACUCUGGGGAGCUUGGUUUCAUGCAUUUGGAACAAUAGGAGGUUGCAGCCAUUUUGAAAGAGGGCAUCUUAACAGAGGACAACUAAUAGCCUCACUUCAACUGAAAAAAGUGUGAGAUAAUGGCCAUUUUGAAAGAAUUCUUCACAUUUCUCUAAAGGAGAAGAUUUUAAUGAAGUAGCCUCUGCUGAUAGAUAAGCAUUCAGUUAUAUAAAAAAAGGCACAAAAAAUUACCAUGCAUCCUACGUAUAUUUUUUUUUAAAAUGCCCAUUGUGCUGCACUAUGUGUUGUGCACUAUGCACGAUGUGCUGCAGUCUAAAACCCCCUUUAUGGGCCAACAUGUUCAGGCUUCUUUAGAGCAGUGUAUAGCAACCAACACAUCCUAAGGAAUUUGGCCCUAAAAGGUUAAAAAAAGAUGUAUUUUUAGAUAAGUACCUAUCUUCAUAUUGUUGUAAAUAUCAUAUGGCUACAUUCUCUGAGUUUCUUGUUUUGUGAUCAAGUAAAGUAUGACAUUUUUAAUUGAAAAAAGAUGGGAAUUCCAUCACAGAAAUAUAAGGGAAAAUAAAGAAAAAAAAUCUAAAAUGUCUUCAAAAAUCAAUUUUAAUCUGGGACCACAAACACUGCAAUGUCUUGAUUAUCAUCACAUGCUUAUUGCAUGGUGUCAUUAGAGGGCAAAGUUAAGGAUGCCCUGAGCAUUUACAUAUCUUGUUUGGAUUUAAGUUUAAACCUCACCUCUGAAUCCUCUGCUUCUUUAGGGGAUAAUUACAAUACAUUUUAUCCUAGAUUACCGAUACGUAUUUUCAACCUUCACUCCCUCUUACUGUAGUUUUUGCCUGGGAAUACUAUGUAGUCUAUUAAACAGGCCUAGGAUGAAAGAGAAAGACACUAUUGUGUGUGAGGGGUAUACUCUAAUUCUAAAAAAAGCCUUUUGGAUGAAAUAUUUCAUAUUCAGUCUCAGAGGGGAUUUUUUUUUUCAAAUCUGUAAAAUCAGAGAUAAACCCCUUCAACUAUCUUUGAGUUAUCAAAAGGUAAAAUAUGACAUUUUCCAUUUAAAAUAAAUGUUAGGACACUGCUUUACUCAAAGAAUGAAAAAAACUAUGCCUGAAAUUUAUUACUUGAAAUUUCAGUUUUGCUGAUCCUCAGUGAGGCCUAGGCCUUUCUGCUGUCAGAAUCCAUUUUCCCACCCAGAGUAAACCAGUGUUAUGAGCAUUGAAAUCUUAUUUUUGUGCAUGGUAACUUCGGGAGCUAUGAACUAUCAGGGCUAGUAUCUACACAGAAAACUUCCUCUGUAGAUUGAUUUCAAUGUAGAAACAGAUUCUGGACCAGAUUCUCUCUGUGUAUUCUGGCCAUUUUCUGCUGCUCAAGUAGUGCAAAAUGGUAGACGGUUGCCCUACCUGGCUAGCUGAUUAUUUCUCCAGUGUGGGGAAGUUUUCACCUGGCAUAAAGAGGCAUAAUCAGCCUUUAUGCCAACUACCCCACCCACACGAUGUAUGGGACAGGAGAGAGCAUGACACAGCAUACUUUCACUCAACCAAUUCUCAACUGAUGUGUGGUCCCACAGGAAGCACAGCCAGCUGGCACAGAAGUUAGAGCAGCCCCUAAGCUCUCCUGUACCAACUGAAUCUCAGCACAGGAGAGAAUCUGGGUGCUUAUGCAUGACUUUUAACGUCUGUAGGAGUUGACCUCUCUACCGUGAAGCUUUCAGCACCUCAGGAGAAGGAUUUCUCUCUCUUUGGAAAGCACAGGGAAAUUAAAAUAUAACUUAUGUUAAGGUUACAAAUCUCAUGACUUAUAGAGUUUAUGUGCAAAAACAGUGGUUCUCAUACUGUAGUCAUUAUUAAUUUGCAUAUGCUGCAUGUGUGUUGUAUCAUCAAUUUCUGGAUUGAUAUCUAAAUGUCUACAUAAAUAUGAAUUUAUGGAAACCACAAAGUAUACAGGAUGUGUAGCAUGGCUGAGUUAAUGUUACAACAGAAAUUUUAACUUCUUCCAUUUCCUCACUUUGUGAGCAUUUACAUUCCUAACCUUAAUGUUACUAGUUAAUAGAGAAACAUGCAUUAAUGUAUCAAAACCUCAAACAAUGGGCACAGAGAAGCCAGUGGUAGGAUUAGAAUCCAUCAGCUAGACCUCCAGCUACAGUAAAAUGUCAGAGCUCCAUUGACUUCAACUGAGCUACAACAAUUUACACAACUGAGGAUCUGGCCCUGUCUCUGAACAUAGCAGGGUAAGCGCUCUGUCAAGCUUCACACACACUUGCGGUUUAUUCAAAUAGACUGAUGUCCCCUUUCCCUUUUUCACACUUUACAGGCAGCAGCAGAGAAGGCUCAUUGUCUGAAGUAACCGUUGGACUGUGCUUCUGCCUGGAUGUAGUGCUGGGCAGCAAUGAAAGUUACAGACAUAAGUACAAGCCUCUGGGAGGAGUCAACUCAGGCACCUGGUUAAGGAGAGAAAGUUCUUUUUGUAGGAACUACAGCACCCAACAUGGCACCCAGCAGUGUGCGCACAGCACCAGAUGACAACAGAAAGCAAAGCAAAUGGCUGUAUCCUUCAACACCAACUUAUAACAGUUUUAUCAGACCCUUCCAUCUGAAGGAUUGCAUCAUGUUAUUUUACGUCUGGACAAGAACAAACUUCAUCUUUGCCUCCUGAUCUUCUUGGUUAAAAUGGAUUGGAAGAUUUGAUCUGACAAGAGACCCUAUCUGUUGGAGUAUUGUCAGAAAAGUGGUUAUGUAAAAACAACACCCUCUUACCACAUUACAUUGUGCAUUUCUGAGCCAAAAUUGUUGACUUUACUCACAAAAAACAGGUUUGUAUUCCUGUUAUCCCUGCAGAGCCAACAGUUAUGAGCACCCUAACUGGACUUUAUUCUGCCUCCUACACCAUCAUCAACAUUGUCUGCAAAGCCCUCAUUGCAGAACCUUUACCUUUGGAGCUGAUGUUAGAGGAACAAUACAGGGAGAAACUGCAACAGAAGAAAAAGGGCAGUGGCAAGAGAGGUUUCUUCAAAUUAUUGGGCCUACAACUAGAAGACAAAAGUGGUCAGUUCACGUGACAAUGGUCUUCGUAUUGCCAAGCAGGACACAGAGGCUUCAAGGCAGAAACAAAGCAUCACGCACAAAGCUACAAAACUGUCCCAUUUCUAAACCAAUGGAAAGCAACACAGAGAAUUUUUAAAAAGAUCUUGAAAACGUCGUCAGGGCUAAAACAAAAUUUGUUUCUGGUAUGAUGCUAAUUUCCAUUCCAAGUCACUGUAACAGUCCUGCUGGGAAAUUUGCUUCUGAAAUGCACACUGUGGGUUUUGUUUGUUGUUGUUUUUUGUUUUUUAAAUUAUGAGUACUGGGUAGAAUCUGAAUGAGAUAUUCUUCCCUCCCCCCAGGGUUCACUCUUGUAUUAGCAGAAAUCAAACAGGCUAGCCAUGUCUCUCUAACUAAUCUUCAGUCUGACACUGUUCACAUAGUACAGCUUUCGCUGCAGGAAGAGCCAGAAUUGGGCAAACGCGUUUGCCCUCCAGCAAGUGAGGGAAACAAACAGGAAGAAUGCUACUUGCAUCUACUCUACUUUAAAUUUCUUGUCAGAGAGAAAACUAAAUUGUGAAGGAAAGAAUAAUAAUUCAUGAAGGUAAGUGGUAAUGGGGAUGUAAUGCAACAUGCAUUUAUCAAAGAUAGAUCAUGCCAUAUUAACUCGAUUUCCUUCUUUCAGAAAAUAACUUUUUUAGCUAGGAAAGAUUUACUGUACCUAAACCUCAGUAAUGCGUUUGACACGGUACCACAUGGGAAACCAUUAGUUACAUUAGGGAAGAUGGUACUCAGUGUAAGAAAUAUAAUGUGGAUAAGGAAAUAGCUGAAGAGCAAAAGGCAACACGUAGUGCUGAAAGGGGAACUACUGGACUGGAAGGAAAUUACUAGUGG